rnacentral:lncRNA from 1 species
CACUUGCAGUAGAAGCCUUGCAGUUGAAGCCAUGGCUAUUUGGCUCCACCGUACGUACCGCAACUUAAACCUGUAAACGACCAUCAUAAAAGAAAAUCAUCUUACCAUGAUUUCCGUGAAGCAUCCUAGGGAAAUUUCUGUAGAGCAAGCCUCUGCGCAGCUGAUGUGGUACUUGGCAAUAUUUCAUACGACAAACGCUAACCACUUUGUCGCCCAAACGCCAUAGGCUUCAAUUAUAGACACUUAGCGCAUUUAGAAAGCAAAUUACAGCGGCAGUUAUUAGCCAAACUAUGACCGUGCCUGGCGCGAAGCAAGCUGCUGCGCCCGUCGAAACCCAAACGUCUACCGCCACAGCAGCUCCUUCUACUAGCGUCGACCAGCAACAGGUUUGUCAGUUACUGAAGUGGUAUUUAUGUUUAGAGCUCAGAUUGUGCACAGUGGGCCUAUUAAGCCGCCGCUAUGCCUAAUCGCUGCCUAGCGGACGCUUCUUUCUUCAUAGUAUCGUUAUCCCAACUUCAGGAAUACAGUCUAGCACGUAGUACGCGCUUGCUUAUGCAUCGCCACCCGUGACUACUCCGGGUGGGUGUCAUCGCCUGUGCCAACCUUUCGAACUCCUGCUCCCUCUUCGUUCCCUAAAGGCCGUAUCAUCUGCCCCGGUCCGCAGCUGCAUGGCACAACCUAAAAGAUGGUCGCGCGAGUCAUAUGCCGCGUGCUCCCAGUCCCCUUGCACUUCAUCCUGAAGCUCCUCCUGCGCGCCAACCCGUGUUUGAACCGCUUUCUACCCAGGUUCGGCAGCUGCAGGUCGCUGUCGCGGAGCUUCGGAGCCUGAAGCAGGGGCGGGUAAGUUGUAGCCCUUGCCUAGGUGUUCCUUGCCCCUACAACAUCGCCUUCGCAUUGCACAUACAUACAUACAUACAUACAUACAUACAUACAUACAUACAUACAUACAUACAUACAUACAAGUUCGUGUGCCCCGUACCCUACGGCUGUUGGAGACGAUGGCGCUCCCAUUCCCCGUCCCAGACACCCCCAGACACCCCCGAUCCGGAGUGGGGGUGCGACACGAUUCGCGACUUGCAUCCACUUGUUGGCCAGCCAGCCAGCCGGUCAUUUACACAAGCAGGAACAUGAACAGCCUUUGGGGAUUUGGGGGGGGGCCCAGCCUAAUGAUUUGUGGCCUGCUGGCUGUAGGACUGUCCUGUCCCCUGUCCUCGGUCCUUGAGGGGGGGGGCCACCGGGACGUGGGGGGGGGAUGUGGCGCAGGGGGGCCCCCUUAUGGGUAGAUUGGUAUUUGCUCCAUUCGCCCGCCCGCUUUUGCUGUUGUUAUUGUUGUUGUUGUUGUUGCUGUUGUUGUUACAGGGUGGGAGGCUUCUGGCCAUUUGAACACAUUCGGAUUGUCCUAUCUAGUAUUGAACAGCGCCACCCACCACUGCCGCACUGUGUACACUACUUACAUACAGAGCCCCUCGUUGCCGCUCUCCGCUGAGGUCACCCCUCACCCGCACCCCCCCCCCCAAACACCAUUACACUCCCAGAGAGUUUACUACCGCAGCGGGGACGUCUUCCUGCUGACCAAACGGGACGAGCAAUUAAACGCGGCUACAGGUACGACGCAAUGACGUGGCACCCGGGGGGUGCUGGUUGGCGACUGUUGAUUCGGCUGGCUGCGGGGAUACAUGUGUGUGUUUUUGUAUGUGUUGAUGAAUGAGCUGUGUGUGGUGGUGGUGUGUGUGUGGUGGGGGGGGGAGGAUUGUAAAUGUCCAUGUGUGUGGUGGUGGGGUGGUGGUGAGGCGGGGAACUGGAUAUGUACCCCGGGGGGCGGGUGCCAUAGCCGGCGCCGACCUAGGGACUCGGGGGACUCGGUAGGGCUCUUAGUAACCUUAUGAGUGAAGGCGGUGCUGUGUCCGUGUCCGGUUCCGGUCCGUGUCCGGUCCGGUCCUGUCCUCCAGAAAAUAAAUUAUGUCCAAUACCUUGUGCUCUGUCGUCCGCCGUAAUACUCUCUGGCGGUGGGUCCCCCAGUGGCAUGUGGUCUCCAACCCCCCUCCCUCCCCCUUCAUUGGGGGAUAGGGGGGUGGGGGUGGGGAACUGAGCGUGUGCCGCGCGACCCGCAGGUCAGCCCCACUGGGCGGUUUUGCGCAUCGUACCAUCACCACACAAACCCUGAGAUAUUGCUCCUCGAAGUCCCCUCAUGUCCCUCACCUGUCGGGCUAGUCAGUCCUCUCGGCCCCCGCCUCCCCCUUCACUCGUUCGUGGUUCGUCUUCCCCCCGUCCUCCCCUCCCCCCCCCGGCGCGGUCUUCUUCCCCCGCGGGGCACCACGGGGGUUCCUCUUCCCCCGUCUGCCCCCAGAAAGCCUGCGAGCGCUCCUGGACCGCAAACCUCAACCGCCGCCAAAACCGUAACUGGAAUAACGACAACAACAGCAACAGGAGCAGCAACAGGAAUUUUCUUAAAAAAAUCCGACGCAGCCGUUGGAAUAUUGCAAAACCAAGAAGGAGCCUAAUUAGGCCACGCAGCGCCUUCCUCCCCCCUUUUACACACACACACAGACACACUCUGUCCCGAUCUGCGUCAGCUCGAUUGGUGCCGCUGCUGCUACAGCUGCUGCUGUUGCGGGAGGAUAUUUGCCGUUGGUAUUUUUCCCUCUCCCUGGUUACUGCACUUGUAGUGGGGGGGAAGCGUUACGUACACUACACUACACAUCUGAUCUGACGUAAUCGCAUUGUGGGUGACGUGCACACGUCUACAAACGGGUUGGUGACCCGUGGGUAUCUGGCAUCUGGGGGGUGGGAAGGAAAGGGAGACGCGCUCGCGCGCGCGCGGAACAUGGCCAAGCGGGCUCACGGUGGUGGUGGCGGUGGCGGUGGUGGUAACCAUGUGAACGGAGGGCGA